UGGGGAAUAUUGGACAAUGGGGGGAACCCUGAUCCAGCCAUGCCGCGUGUGUGAAGAAGGCCUUAUGGUUGUAAAGCACUUUAAGCGAGGAGGAGGGUACUGGUAUUAAUACUACCAGGUACUGGACGUUACUCGCAGAAUAAGCACCGGCUAACUCUGUGCCAGCAGCCGCGGUAAUACAGAGGGUGCGAGCGUUAAUCGGAUUUACUGGGCGUAAAGCGUGCGUAGGCGGCUAAUUGAGUCGGAUGUGAAAUCCCCGAGCUUAACUGGGGAAUUGCAUUCGAUACUGGUUAGCUAGAGUGUGGGGGAGGAUGGUAGAAUUCCGGGUGUAGCGGUGAGAUGCGUAGAGAUCUGGAGGAAUACGGAUGGCGAAGGCAGCCAUCUGGCCUAACUCUGACGCUGAAGUACGAAAGCAUGGGGAGCAAACAGG
rnacentral:rRNA from 1 species